UACGUAGGGGGCAAGCGUUGUCCGGAUUUAUUGGGCGUAAAGAGCGUGUAGGCGGCCAGACAGGUCAGCUGUGAAAACUCGAGGCUCAACCUCGAGACGUCGGUUGAAACCGUCUGGCUAGAGUCCGGAAGAGGAGAGUGGAAUUCCCGGUGUAGCGGUGAAAUGCGUAGAGAUCGGGAGGAACACCAGUGGCGAAGGCGGCUACCUGGACCAGCACUGACACUGAGGCACGAAAGCGUGGGGAGCAAACAGG
rnacentral:rRNA from 1 species